UACGUAGGGGGUGAGCGUUGUCCGGAUUUAUCGGGCGUAAAGAGCUCGUAGGCGGCUCGGUAAGUCAGGUGUGAAAACUCUAGGCUCAACCUAGAGACGCCACCUGAUACUGCUGUGGCUAGAGUCCGGUAGGGGAGCAUGGAAUUCCUGGUGUAGCGGUGAAAUGCGCAGAUAUCAGGAGGAACACCAGUGGCGAAGGCAGUGAUCAAGAAAGAACUGACGCUGAGGCACGAAGGCUUGGGGAGCAAACAGG
rnacentral:rRNA from 1 species